ensembl:lncRNA
UUUUUUGUUUUUUUGUUUUUGUUUUUGUUUUUGGAGACAGAGUCUCACUCAGUUCACUGCAACCUCCUCUUCCUGGAUUCAAACAAUUCUCCUGGCUCAGCCUCCCCAGUAGCUGGGAUUACAGGCGCCUGCCACCACACCCGGGUAAUUUUUGUAUUUUUAUAGAGAUGGGGUUUCUCCCUGUUAGUCAGGCUGGUCUCGAACUCCCGACCUCAGAUGAUCCACCGGCCUCGGGCUCCCAAAGUGCUCGGAUUACAGGUGUGAGCCACUGUGCCCAGCCUUGUUUUGCUUUAAAUUUUAAUGCAAGGCUUCGGAGCUUUCACAGCCCGCGUCCUUUCCUAUUUUUUAACUGUUGGAGUGGUGUCUCUAACAUUUUUAUAAACUGCAACAAGGAUGGACCUUCUGCUGAACCUCAAUGACUACCUUAAUGGCUUCCAUCCUCCCACCGUUACCAUGGAAGUCACCAUUUUCUACACCAACUCAUCAGCUCUUCCCUGGAAAUUCUGGAACACAAAGAAAAUAAUCUCUCUCUGGACACCUGGGUCAUAAUAUGAAAAACAUGGGGCUGGCAGCCAGGUUCUGCCACCUGGACCGAGAAGCAGAGGAUGCUGGUCCAUGAUGGAAAAGGAAUAACUCAGAAACACAGGGAGCUGACAGCUGGGAAAGAGGCAGAAGAGAAGAGAGCGAGUGUGUGUCCUCCUGGCCCCAUCCAUGCAGCAUCCUAGCCCAAUCCCUGGCUCCUGGCCUGGAUUCCGUAGACAGCCCAGAAUCCUUCCACUGAAUUCCCUUUUUUUGUGUUAGUUAAGUCUCUUUCACCAGUAACCAAGAAUCCCCUGACUAACAGAGGGUUCUACAGUUCUUUCCGCUGAUUGUUUUGAAAGAGGCAAGACAGAAAUCUACAGGUGGUUGACUGAACCCAGCAGAGUCCUAGAGCCAGAAAGAGAUCAGCCACCCCUUGGAACCUGCUCCCGUGGCAGGGCUUAGACCACAUAACCCUAACUCGCCGCUCCACACCAGGCCACUGCAGGGCUCCACAGCAACUUUCUGGUAGGCCUUUGGGCCACAGACUAAUUCCUCCAGCCAACC